CAGGCACUAGCUUGCUAGUGUGCUGACGAGUGGCGGACGGGUGAGUAACGCGUAGGGAUCUGCCUUAGAGAGGGGGACAACCCGGGGAAACUCGGGCUAAUACCGCGUAACCCUUGUGCUUCGGUACAAGGUGAAAGGGGGCCUCUGAUUAAGCUCUCGCUCUAAGAUGAACCUGCGUCCGAUUAGCUAGUAGGUGGGGUAACGGCCUACCUAGGCGACGAUCGGUAGCUGUUCUGAGAGGAAGUACAGCCACACUGGGACUGAGACACGGCCCAGACUCCUACGGGAGGCAGCAGUGGGGAAUAUUGGACAAUGGGGGCAACCCUGAUCCAGCAAUGCCGCGUGUGUGAAGAAGGCCUGUGGGUUGUAAAGCACUUUCAUUGGGGAGGAAGAGGCCUAUGUUAAUACCAUAGGUGGAUGACGUUACCCAAAGAAGAAGCACCGGCUAACUCUGUGCCAGCAGCCGCGGUAAUACAGAGGGUGCGAGCGUUAAUCGGAAUCACUGGGCGUAAAGGGCGCGUAGGUGGAUAAAUAAGUUGGCUGUGAAAGCCCCGGGCUUAACCUGGGAGGGCCAGCCAAAACUGAUUAUCUAGAGUACGGUAGAGGGUAGU
rnacentral:rRNA from 1 species